UUUUAUGGAAGUUUUUCCAUAAAAUAUAAAAAAAAAUUUAAAUUAUGUUUUGCAUUGAGUUAUGAAAAUGUAUUUGACAAAAAAUUAAAGUUUCUGCUUAAUAAUUAAAAAGACAUUUUUCUAACAUUUCUUCAUUAUUUCUUUACUUUAACCUGUAAAUAUAACACAAUAAAAUUUUCCCAGAAAGUUAAAAUUAUUAACAAUGUAUAUAUAUUAUUACUUAUGUAAUUUACACUUUUUGCAUUGUUUUAUACAACCAUAUCAACUGUGCAAGGAUUAAUUUUCUUAUGAGCAUAGUAACAUGAAACAUUGUUAUAAAUGGAGUAAAAAGCACUAAGGAAAAGUAACAAUUUAUAUAAAUAAAAACUAUACUCAAAUUAUUUUAGUAGAAAAUAAGAUUGCAUUUUAAAACUAAUAUAGCUUAAUUUAAAUGUUUUUUUAUUUCGUUAUUUUUUGUUGAGAUUCCGGAACGACAUUGCAAUAUUAAAAAAGAUUUUAGGAACAGGUGAUGGAAAAAGAUUUACAUACGAAAAUAAUUUUAAAGAAGACGAAAAUCUUCUAAUAUGUAGUAGAGACUAUAACAUAAGAACAAGAAUGAUAUUAAAACACGAUGAAACUGUAGAACAAAUAGAAGAUUUCAUAUAUUUGGAUUGUACUUUAAGCUCAGAUGGAAGAUGCAAAAAAGAAAUAUAAAGAGAAUAUACCAAGCUAAGGUAGCAUUUAAUAUAAAAAAAAGUUUUUACUUCAAUAAAAAAUGACCUUAAUAUUAGAAAGAAUCUACUAGAAACGUACAUCUGGAACAUCAUGUUAUAUGAAUGCUAAACAUGAACUAAUGCAAGAAAAGAAUAAAGGCCUUAGAAAUGUGGUGCUACAGAAGGAUGGAAAUGGGUAUCUAAGACGAAAUUAAUAUGGAAGAGAGUAUACAUAAAAGGAGAAAUUAAUUAAUAGAUCAUAUUUAAGACGCAAUAGGUUGCUAUUAUUAAUCUUGAAAGGAAUAAUCGAUGGAAAAAAUCAAAGGAAAACCAAGAUUGCAAUACAUAAGUCAGUUAAUAGAAGAUCAAGGAUGUAAUUUAUAUCAAGAGUUGAAGAGAUAGAGAAACAUGGAAGUUGCAGCAAAUCAAUCAUAAGUUGAAUACUACAAAAGAUGGUUUAACAUUUAAUCAAUCCCACUUAUGUAAUUUAAAUAGAAUUGUAUACAUUAAAGUAAAAAUAAAUUAAUGAAAACAUAAAAUAAAUAAAUGCUUAAAAACUA